AAUAGAUACCCCGGUAGUCCACGCCGUAAACUAUGAUUACUCGAUGUCGGCGAUAUACUGUCGGUGUCCAAGCGAAAGUGAUAAGUAAUCCACCUGGGGAGUACGAUCGCAAGGUUGAAACUCAAAGGAAUUGACGGGGGCCCACACAAGCGGUGGAGGAUGUGGCUUAAUUCGAGGCUACGCGAAGAACCUUAUCCAGGCCUUGACAUGUACGGAUGCUGCCCGUGAAAGCGGGUUAGUUGCCUUCGGGUGAAACGUGCACAGGUGCUGCAUGGCUGUCGUCAGCUCGUGUCGUGAGAUGUCGGGUUAAGUCCCUUAACGAGCGAAACCCCUGUUGCUAGUUGCCAGCGAGUCAUGUCGGGGACUCUAGCAAGACCGCCGGCGUUAAGCCGGAGGAAGGCGGGGAUGACGUCAAGUCCUCAUGGCCUUUAUGGCCUGGGCUGCACACGUCCUACAAUGGCGCGUACAAAGGGAAGCAAACUCGUGAGAGCAAGCAAAUCCCAAAAAGCGCGCCUCAGUUCGAAUUGCG
rnacentral:rRNA from 1 species